UGCAGAUAAAUGAGUCAAGAGAAUGCAAUGAACAUAAACAGGUGUUUCCCAAUAUAGCUAGGAUUGAUUAAUUAACACAAGUUGAUAUAAAUAGUCAGUACUUAAUUUGACCUGGUUAAUACAUCUCUAAUUCAAUGAAUUAACUAAGGACAUAAACAGAUCUGGUGACCGAAUCCGACCAUGAAAUAGAAUUUUUUUGUUCUCAUGACUGAGAGGAAGAGCAUAGAUCUCAUAACUAAACGACUUGAAAUGGCC
rnacentral:lncRNA from 1 species